rnacentral:lncRNA from 1 species
GAUAUGUAGCCUGAGCUGGACAUAUAUUUAGGGCAUAGAACUUAGGGCACAGAAUUAAUGUGGUGUGAAAGGAAGUGCAUCUAGCCCAGUCCCCCACUGAUGGAUUCAUCUACAUUCACACAGACAAGGUGGAGACAGUGACUAGAGGCCCUGCCCACGGCCCCCACAGCAAAUGUCAUGAGAAUUUCAGGUCCAUCCUGACAACCAUCCCCUCUCAGUGCCCGGGUGAGUUUCCCUGGCAUUUAAGAAUGCUUACCAGUCUUCUGGCUUCCACCCCAAAUCCAAGAAGUAGAUUUCUUUCAGCUUUAUUGACUUUUCAUUAAGGGA